rnacentral:rRNA from 1 species
AAGACCUUGCACUUUUGGAGCGGCCGAMGUCUGAUUAGCUAGUUGGUGGGGUAAUGGCCUACCAAAGCUUCGAUCAGUAGCUGGUCUGAGAGGACGGCCAGCCACACUGGGACUGAGACACGGCCCAGACUCCUACGGGAGGCAGCAGUGGGGAAUUUUGGACAAUGGGCGCAAGCCUGAUCCAGCCAUGCCGCGUGAGUGAAGAAGGCCUUCGGGUUGUAAAGCUCUUUCAGUCGGGAAGAAAAGGUUGCGACUAAUAAUCGCAAUUCAUGACGGUACCGAAAGAAGAAGCACCGGCUAACUACGUGCCAGCAGCCGCGGUAAUACGUAGGGUGCGAGCGUUAAUCGGAAUUACUGGGCGUAAAGGGUGCGCAGGCGGUUUUGUAAGUCAGAUGUGAAAUCCCCGGGCUUAACCUGGGAACU